rnacentral:rRNA from 1 species
GCAUCCUGUGCAGUGCRACGGUAGUAUCAUCGACGUGCAGUAGUGGGGAUACCCGCAAACCGACWAWCCGAUACGACCWCGGGURAACAGGGGAUCSAAGACCUUGNCUAUCGAGCGCCGAUGUCAGAUWGCUUGUUGCGGGGUAAAGCCCACCAAGGCGACGAUCUGUAGCUGGUCUGAGAGGACGACCAGCCACACUGGGACUGAGACACGGCCCAGACUCCUACGGGAGGCCAGCAGUGGGGAAAUUUUGGACAAUGGGCGCAAGCCUGAUCCAGCCAUGCCGCGUGCGGGAAGAAGGCCUUCGGGUUGUAAACCGCCUUUUGUCAGGGAAGAAACGCUCCGGGCUAAUACCUYGGAGUAAUGACGGUACCUGAAGAAUAAGCACCGGCUAACUACGUGCCAGCAGCCGCGGUAAUACGUAGGGUGCAAGCGUUAAUCGGAAUUACUGGGCGUAAAGCGUGCGCAGGCGGCCUUUGCAAGACAGAUGUGAAAUCCCCGGGCUUAACCUGGGAACUGMUUUGUGACUGMUGGCUAGAGUGCGCA